GCCCAGGUAGCUCAGUGGUAGAGCAACGCCAUGGUAAGGCGUAGGCCGGCAGUUCAAAUCUGCUCCUGGGCU
rnacentral:tRNA from 1 species